UACGUAGGGGGCAAGCGUUGUCCGGAUUUACUGGGCGUAAAGAGCGUGUAGGCGGCCAAACAGGUCCGUUGUGAAAACUGGAGGCUCAACCUCCAGCUGUCGACGGAAACCGUAUGGCUAGAGUCCGGAAGAGGAGAGUGGAAUUCCGUGGUGUAGCGGUGAAAUGCGCAGAUAUCAGGAAGAACACCAAUGGCGAAGGCAGCUCUUUGGGACGGUACUGACGCUGAGACGCGAAAGCGUGGGGAGCGAACAGG
rnacentral:rRNA from 1 species